GGUUAAGCGACUAAGCGUACACGGUGGAUGCCUAGGCAGUCAGAGGCGAUGAAGGGCGUGCUAAUCUGCGAAAAGCGUCGGUAAGCUGAUAUGAAGCGUUAUAACCGACGAUACCCGAAUGGGGAAACCCAGUGCAAUACGUUGCACUAUCGUUAGAUGAAUACAUAGUCUAACGAGGCGAACCGGGGGAACUGAAACAUCUAAGUACCCCGAGGAAAAGAAAUCAACCGAGAUUCCCCCAGUAGCGGCGAGCGAACGGGGAGGAGCCCAGAGUCUGAAUCAGUUUGUGUGUUAGUGGAAGCGUCUGGAAAGUCGCACGGUACAGGGUGAUAGUCCCGUACACCAAAAUGCACAGGCUGUGAACUCGAUGAGUAGGGCGGGACACGUGACAUCCUGUCUGAAUAUGGGGGGACCAUCCUCCAAGGCUAAAUACUCCUGACUGACCGAUAGUGAACCAGUACCGUGAGGGAAAGGCGAAAAGAACCCCGGCGAGGGGAGUGAAAUAGAACCUGAAACCGUGUACGUACAAGCAGUGGGAGCACCUUCGUGGUGUGACUGCGUACCUUUUGUAUAAUGGGUCAGCGACUUAUAUUUUGUAGCAAGGUUAACCGAAUAGGGGAGCCGUAGGGAAACCGAGUCUUAACUGGGCGUCUAGUUGCAAGGUAUAGACCCGAAACCCGGUGAUCUAGCCAUGGGCAGGUGAAGUUGGGUAACACUAACUGGAGGACCGAACCGACUAAUGUUGAAAAAUUAGCGGAUGACUUGUGGCUGGGGGUGAAAGGCCAAUCAAACCGGGAGAUAGCUGGUUCUCCCCGAAAGCUAUUUAGUAGCGCCUCGUGAACUCAUCUUCGGGGGUAGAGCACUGUUUCGGCUAGGGGGCCAUCCCGGCUUACCAAACCGAUGCAAACUCCGAAUACCGAAGAAUGUUAUCACGGGAGACACACGGCGGGUGCUAACGUCCGUCGUGAAGAGGGAAACAACCCAGACCGCCAGCUAAGGUCCCAAAGUCAUGGUUAAGUGGGAAACGAUGUGGGAAGGCACAGACAGCCAGGAUGUUGGCUUAGAAGCAGCCAUCAUUUAAAGAAAGCGUAAUAGCUCACUGGUCGAGUCGGCCUGCGCGGAAGAUGUAACGGGGCUAAACCAUGCACCGAAGCUGCGGCAGCGACGUUUAGGCGUUGUUGGGUAGGGGAGCGUUCUGUAAGCCGUUGAAGGUGACCUGUGAGGGUUGCUGGAGGUAUCAGAAGUGCGAAUGCUGACAUAAGUAACGAUAAUGCGGGUGAAAAACCCGCACGCCGGAAGACCAAGGGUUCCUGUCCAACGUUAAUCGGGGCAGGGUGAGUCGACCCCUAAGGCGAGGCUGAAAAGCGUAGUCGAUGGGAAACAGGUUAAUAUUCCUGUACUUGGUGUUACUGCGAAGGGGGGACGGAGAAGGCUAGGCUGGCCGGGCGACGGUUGUCCCGGUUUAAGCGUGUAGGGGGAGUGACCAGGUAAAUCCGGUUGCUUAUCAACCCUGAGGCGUGAUGACGAUGCACCACGGUGCAGAAGCAGUUGAUGCCAUGCUUCCAGGAAAAGCCUCUAAGCAUCAGGUAACAUUAAAUCGUACCCCAAACCGACACAGGUGGUCAGGUAGAGAAUACUCAGGCGCUUGAGAGAACUCGGGUGAAGGAACUAGGCAAAAUGGUGCCGUAACUUCGGGAGAAGGCACGCUGGCGUUAGGUGAAAGGACUAGCUCCUGGAGCUGAAGCCAGUCGCAGAUACCAGCUGGCUGCAACUGUUUAAUAAAAACACAGCACUGUGCAAACACGAAAGUGGACGUAUACAGUGUGACGCCUGCCCGGUGCUGGAAGGUUAAUUGAUGGGGUCAGCCGCAAGGCGAAGCUCUUGAUCGAAGCCCCAGUAAACGGCGGCCGUAACUAUAACGGUCCUAAGGUAGCGAAAUUCCUUGUCGGGUAAGUUCCGACCUGCACGAAUGGCGUAAUGAUGGCCAGGCUGUCUCCACCCGAGACUCAGUGAAAUUGAACUCGCUGUGAAGAUGCAGUGUACCCGCGGCAAGACGGAAAGACCCCGUGAACCUUUACUAUAGCUUGACACUGAACAUUGAGCCUUGAUGUGUAGGAUAGGUGGGAGGCCUUGAAGUGUGGACGCCAGUCUGCAUGGAGCCAACCUUGAAAUACCACCCUUUAAUGUUUGAUGUUCUAACUCGGCCCCAUGAUCUGGGGUGAGGACAGUGUCUGGUGGGUAGUUUGACUGGGGCGGUCUCCUCCCAAAGAGUAACGGAGGAGCACGAAGGUUAGCUAAUCACGGUCGGACAUCGUGAGGUUAGUGCAAAGGCAUAAGCUAGCUUGACUGCGAGAGUGACGGCUCGAGCAGGUACGAAAGUAGGUCUUAGUGAUCCGGUGGUUCUGAAUGGAAGGGCCAUCGCUCAACGGAUAAAAGGUACUCCGGGGAUAACAGGCUGAUACCGCCCAAGAGUUCAUAUCGACGGCGGUGUUUGGCACCUCGAUGUCGGCUCAUCACAUCCUGGGGCUGAAGUAGGUCCCAAGGGUAUGGCUGUUCGCCAUUUAAAGUGGUACGCGAGCUGGGUUUAGAACGUCGUGAGACAGUUCGGUCCCUAUCUGCCGUGGGCGUUGGAAGAUUGAGAGGGGCUGCUCCUAGUACGAGAGGACCGGAGUGGACGAAUCACUGGUGUUCGGGUUGUCAUGCCAAUGGCAUUGCCCGGUAGCUAAAUUCGGAAGAGAUAACCGCUGAAAGCAUCUAAGCGGGAAACUUGCCUCGAGAUGAGUCUUCCCUGGGGCUUAAAGCCCCCUGAAGGAACGUUAAAGACUAUGACGUUGAUAGGCUGGGUGUGUAAGUGCAGCGAUGUAUUGAGCUAACCAGUACUAAUGAUCCGUGAGGCUUAACCUU
rnacentral:rRNA from 1 species